UUUUGAAGAUUUUGAGCAUUUGAGCAAGUUUUGGAGCUUGGAGGUUCAAGGAACUCUCUCUCUCCCAUUUUCCGAGCUAGGGUCGUUCUCCUCUCGAUCUUCAAGAGGUAAGGGCCGAUCUUGAGCUUAUGGCAUGUUUUAAGUAAGUUUUAAGUAGAUCUAUGGGGUAGAAUGCAUGUUUAGCUCAUGGUUAGGUUUAUGGGUUUUAUAUGUGUUUAUGAAUAAUGUGAGUUGUUU
rnacentral:lncRNA from 1 species